rnacentral:rRNA from 1 species
AAAUUGAAGAGUUUGAUCAUGGCUCAGAUUGAACGCUGGCGGCAGGCCUAACACAUGCAAGUCGAACGGUAACAGGAAGAAGCUUGCUUCUUUGCUGACGAGUGGCGGACGGGUGAGUAAUGUCUGGGAAACUGCCUGAUGGAGGGGGAUAACUACUGGAAACGGUAGCUAAUACCGCAUAACGUCGCAAGACCAAAGAGGGGGACCUUCGGGCCUCUUGCCAUCGGAUGUGCCCAGAUGGGAUUAGCUAGUAGGUGGGGUAACGGCUCACCUAGGCGACGAUCCCUAGCUGGUCUGAGAGGAUGACCAGCCACACUGGAACUGAGACACGGUCCAGACUCCUACGGGAGGCAGCAGUGGGGAAUAUUGCACAAUGGGCGCAAGCCUGAUGCAGCCAUGCCGCGUGUAUGAAGAAGGCCUUCGGGUUGUAAAGUACUUUCAGCGGGGAGGAAGGGAGUAAAGUUAAUACCUUUGCUCAUUGACGUUACCCGCAGAAGAAG